rnacentral:rRNA from 1 species
CAGCCGCCGCGGUAAUACGAGGGGAGCUAGCGUUGUUCGGAAUUACUGGGCGUAAAGCGCGCGUAGGCGGCUUUUUAAGUCAGAGGUGAAAGCCCGGGGCUCAACCCCGGAAUUGCCUUUGAAACUGGAAAGCUAGAAUCUUGGAGAGGUCAGUGGAAUUCCGAGAGUAGAGGUGAAAUUCGUAGAUAUUCGGAAGAACACCAGUGGCGAAGGCGACUGACUGGACAAGUAUUGACGCUGAGGUGCGAAAGCGUGGGGAGCAAACAGGAUUAGAUACCCCCGUAGUCCCUGUCUCUUAUAC